UGCCUGCGUAAAAGCAGACCCGUGCUGGCCAGCAGACCAGGUUCAAGGCAGUUGUUGCCGUCAGAGAUUACAACGGACAGGUCGGAAGAUCGGUUCAGCA